GACGAACGCUGGCGGCGUGCUUAACACAUGCAAGUCGAACGAUGAAGCCGGAGCUUGCUCUGGUGAAUUAGUGGCGAACGGGUGAGUAACACGUGAGUAACCUGCCCCUGACUCUGGGAUAACUGCUAGAAAUGGUAGCUAAUACCGGAUACGACCCUCGGAGGCAUCUCCAGGGGGUGGAAAGAAUUUCGGUCAAGGAUGGACUCGCGGCCUAUCAGCUAGUUGGUGAGGUAAUGGCUCACCAAGGCGACGACGGGUAGCCGGCCUGAGAGGGUGACCGGCCACCCUGGGACUGAGACACGGCCCAGACUCCUACGGGAGGCAGCAGUGGGGAAUAUUGCACAAUGGGUGCAAGCCUGAUGCAGCAACGCCGCGGGAGGGAUGACGGCCUUCGGGUUGUAAACCUCUUUUAGUAGGGAAGAAGCGAAAGUGACGGUACCUGCAGAAAAAGCACCGGCUAACUACGUGCCAGCCGCCGCCGCAG
rnacentral:rRNA from 1 species